rnacentral:rRNA from 1 species
ACGAACGCUGGCGGCGUGCUUAACACAUGCAAGUCGAACGGAAAGGCCCUGCUUUUGUGGGGUGCUCGAGUGGCGAACGGGUGAGUAACACGUGAGUAACCUGCCCUUGACUUUGGGAUAACUUCAGGAAACUGGGGCUAAUACCGGAUAGGAGCUCCUGCUGCAUGGUGGGGGUUGGAAAGUUUCGGCGGUUGGGGAUGGACUCGCGGCUUAUCAGCUUGUUGGUGGGGUAGUGGCUUACCAAGGCUUUGACGGGUAGCCGGCCUGAGAGGGUGACCGGCCACAUUGGGACUGAGAUACGGCCCAGACUCCUACGGGAGGCAGCAGUAGGGAAUAUUGCACAAUGGGCGGAAGCCUGAUGCAGCAACGCCGCGUGCGGGAUGACGGCCUUCGGGUUGUAAACCGCUUUCGCCUGUGACGAAGCGUGAGUGACGGUAAUGGGUAAAGAAGCACCGGCUAACUACGUG